rnacentral:rRNA from 1 species
UACGGGGGGAGCAAGCGUUGUUCGGAUUUACUGGGCGUAAAGGGCGCGUAGGCGGUCGUGACAAGUCACUUGUGAAAUCUCCGGGCUUAACUCGGAACGGUCAAGUGAUACUGUCGUGCUAGAGUACAGGAAGGGACAACUGGAAUUCUCGGUGUAGCGGUGAAAUGCGUAGAUAUCGAGAGGAACACCUGCGGCGAAGGCGGGUUGCUGGGCUGAUACUGACGCUGAGGCGCGAAAGCCAGGGGAGCGAACGGG